UGGAAGUAAAAGUCGUAACAAGGUCUCCGUUGGUGAACCAGCGGAGGGAUCAUUACAGAGUUCUCGCAACUCCCAAAACCCUGGCGAACCUACUGCGCGUUGCCUCGGCGGCUCACCCCGCCGGCGGCCCGCGCGACAACACCUGAAUUCUUAGUUACAGUUGACAGGUUGAGAACUCAGCCGAAUACGUUAAAACUUUCAACAACGGAUCUCUUGGUUCUGGCAUCGAUGAAGAACGCAGCGAAAUGCGAUACGUAAUGUGAAUUGCAGAAUUCAGUGAAUCAUCGAAUCUUUGAACGCACAUUGCGCCCACCGGUAUUCCGGUGGGCAUGCCUGUUCGAGCGUCAUUUCAACCCCUUAAGCCUCUGCUGCUUAGCGUUGGGAGCCUACCGGUGCGGUAGCUCCCCAAAGUGAGUGGCGGGGCCGGCUCGUGCUCUGGGCGUAGUAGAUCUCCAUCUCGCCCGUGGCCGGUGCCGGUCUCCUGCCGUAAAACGCCCUAAUUUUUCAGGUUGACCUCGGAUCAGGUAGGAAUACCCGCUGAACUUAAGCAUAUCAAUAAGCGGAGG
rnacentral:rRNA from 1 species